CAACCAUAUCUGAGAAAGACGCCAAGAGGACGCAAGAGGAUAGCAAGAAGAAUCUUUUUCUUUCUAUCAUUUUCUCGGAACAAUGGCUUGCCUGCCGCUUGAUCUCAUGGAGCAAUCGCCUAUGCCCUCCUGAAAUCUCCUAUACCCCCAAUUAUUUAAUGAAGUGGUGAUUGAAGAAAUUACCCUCUUAUUUAAUAAAUAAAAGUUAGAUAAAACAUAAAUUGAAUUUUCGGUUUGGUUGGAUUGGUUUAAGGUUUGAUUAAAAAUCGGUUUUGACUUUAUCCAUAAAAAAAAAACCUGGCAAAAAAAAAGGAGCGUAACCGCAGUUCUUCGUUCCCAGCUCCACUUUCCCUGCUCACCUCCACUUUCCCUGCUCACCUCCACUCCCUCGGCUCUGGAAGCUCUCCCGCAGCCCAGCUUCUCCUCCUGAACCUCCACUCCUUUCUCCCGCAGCUUCUCCAUCACCACCGUCUGUCAGCGUACACCAAUCAGAAGUAGCUUGUGGUCUCCGUUUUGAGGUUUCUUUGGGAAGUAGGUUGUAAUGGAUUUGCAAUUGAAAUGCACAACGGCCUUGUUUUGUUUAGGGGUUGAUUUGUAAAGAAAACUGGUAUAUAAUGCAUUUCAGUGGUGGAAUGAGAGUGUAUAGGCAGUAGAAUUAGACCUAGAUCAAUCUUGCGCACCUUAAACCUAAUUCAAUUUGUUCUUGAUAAUUGUAGUAUAACUGUCUAACUCGGAACAACAACGAGAUCGCAGUUAUGUGGAAAGUGAUAGCUGUGGAUGCGACAUGGCUGAAGAACAUAUAUGGUGGUGUUCUAGUCUUCGCGAAAGCUCAAGAUCCUAAUGGUCACAGUUAUCCACUUGCAUUUGCAGUACUAGAUGGUGAGAAUCUUGUUAGUUCGACUUGGUUUUUCGAGAUGCUUAAAAGUGUUAUACCAGACUUUUCUGAACUGGUUAUCAUGAGUGAAAGAAAUCAGAGCCUGAUCCUCGUUAUAGGAAAUGUGUUUCCACAUGAUCACCGUGGCAUUGUUUAUGGCAUUUGAUGGAAAAUGUGAAAUGGCAUGCUUGUAACGUCAACAAGAAUAUAGUCGGGCAUAGAUUUAUGGAGUUUGGCAGAUAUUACAUGGUGGGUGACUAGUUCAACUCUGCUUAUGACUCAUUUAAGAUAAGAUAUCCUGCUGCGUACAAGUAUGGGGAGAAACAUACUGAAAAGGACAAAUGGGCAAGGGUGCACGUGAGAGGUAAAACUUGGAUACAUGCAACAAUGUGGAAUAAAUGAAGAACGUUUUUAAAGAGGCAACGAGGUGGGCCUUAAUACCAAUGUUUGAUUGUAUCAUUAGGAAAUUCUCUGAUUGGUUCAAUCAACGGAAGGAUGAUGUUUCUAGAUCAAUCGAUACAAGACUGGUGCCUCUGGUUGAGAACUACUUGCACGAUGUAUGGUUGUUGCACAACAGCUAUCUGUGUGGGAGUUUGAUAGUUAUGAGCUUAAGUACGAGAUCACUGACACUGCAGAAAAGAUGUUUUGGGCAACCUUGGUUGGAAAAUCUUGUACUUGCAUGGUGUGGGAUUAUGAAAAGUUUUCUUGUCUGCACGGACUGGCAGCUUACAUAUAUUUCACUAAGAAUGUUGAUGGAAGCCGCCUUAAUAUCUGUGAGCUGUGUUCAAAAUACUACUGAACGGAACUGUAGGCUUUGGCGUAUUCCAGGAAACUUUAUGUUGUGUCCGACAUGUCUUCUUUUAAUGUACCGGAUCAGAUCAAGGAGGUGAAGAUCAUGCCUCCAGAUCGCAUCACACAGAAGGGAAGGAAAAGAAUGAAAAGUUAGUUAUUUGGAUGAAUUAGGAGUAAUGCAUUUUAGCUCUAUUGUCUGUUUAUUUUGUGUUGUAUGCUUUGGAAAAAACUGAGUAAAACUUGGUUAUCUACUUUGUUUUGUUCCUUUGUUUUGUAAUGACAUUAGUAUUAUCUAUAUCAAAACUCGGUUAUCAUAGUUUUCCAUUUAAUUUCUAUACUCUAACUUAUAAUUCUUACAAACAUGACAAAUGUUGCAAAAUUUUGGAAACUCGUAAUAUAUGCAUUAUAAAACCUUGUAAUAUCAAUCACACUUUCUCAAUGAAGAACUUCUUACAAAGGAAAUUUUAGAGUUAUAUGUAUUAAACCUACAUUAUUGUACAAAACAAUAUAAAUUACAUUUUGAAGUACUAAACUCAAAAGUAAAACUAAAAAAAUAAGUUAAAAAUUUAAUAACACUAAAUAAAUUAGAAACCACCAAAAGUAAAACUAUGACCAAAUUUCGUAACACUACUAUCUUCUGUAUAACUAAGAACAAAUCUUAGGAGGGAAAUGAAAAACAAUUUUGGCCCCUAAACAAUAAAAAAAGAACGAAAGAAAUUUCUCAUCUCAGUUGGAACCUUCACUUUUUCUUAUCCAUCUCCCUCUCCUCAUAAACUCUCUCUCUCUCUCUCUCUCUCUCUCUCUCUCUCUCUCUCUCUCUCUCUCUCUCUCUCUCUCUCUCUCUCUCUCUCUCUCUCUCUCUCUCUCUCUCUCUCUCUCUCUCUCUCUCUCAUCUCAACCACACAACAUCCUCUAACUUUUUCUUAUCCAUUUUCUCUUCCUUCAUUUCAAGAGUCAAACCGGUAUAUUUCCUGAAUCUUCCAUUUACCAACACCAAUUAUCUCUCUCUUCUAUUACAUCUGAAACAACACCUUCCCUCUUCCUCUUCCAAUUAUCUAUUUCAAUUCUCUCUAUUCCUUUCUCUCUCUCUCUCUCUCUCUCUCUCUCUCUCUCUCUCUCUCUCUCUCUCUCUCUCUCUCUCUCUCUCUCUCUCUCUCUCAGAAUAGUUUGAUCUCUCUAUAUCUUUUCUUCUCUUCUCAGAUUGAAAAAGUGAAGAUGGAAAAUGUGAAGGUGGAAAAAUCGAAGAUGGACGUGGGUUCGGGAUCGUCAACGAGGAGACGGAAUUAUGGUUGGAGAUUGUGUUUUUGUGGCUUACCGGCGAAUAUAAUGCAAGCUUGGACUGACAAAAACUAAGCUUGGAGAUGAAUGCAAUUACUUCUCUUUGCUUGAUGAAGAGGAAGGUACGAAAUGGCAAAGAAGAGCUUUGAUUGAAGCUCGGGAUGAGAUCAGGCAGAAGACCAGAGUGAUUGAGCAAUUAAUUAAAACCAUCUCAGAAAUGAAAAGCAAUUUGGAGAACAAAGAGACAGUGGAUGACGAUAAUGACGAUGAGAUUGUUAGAAAGUUUGAAGAAUUCUAUGUUUAAGUGUUUUGGAUUGUUGGUCUUUUCCUCAUUUCUGGUUGGUCUUUUACUGUCUGUUUUCCGUUUCUUUGUUUCGGCGGAUCGGCUUACAAGUCUUUAUUUUGUGGUUUGUCUAAGACUUGUAAAACUCCAAACUUUCAUUUAUUUAUUUUAUGGUUGACGAUAACAUGAAA